UAGUUGCGGGCACAAAUUCCUUCAGUCAUUCGUGUUAUAGUCUACAAUAUACAGUGUGGUUCAGUGGAAUUUGAGAGUCAAAUGAUAAUAAGUAACACUGAUGCUGAGAAAUCUCGUGCUGCCCGUGAUUUGCAAAACAUAAGAAAUGGUGGAACACUCGCUGUUGACGGGCUUAAUACUAAAGCCACUGCUGUUACAGUUAACGGUUACGCAUUGAGUACAACUAUUGGUACUGACAAUACAGGAACCAAAGUCUGUAGAGUUUAUUCAACAAUAGUCACGUGCCCCACAGGACAGACGUGUCAGUACGUAGGCAACACUGCCUCCUGCAGG